GGGCCCAUCGCCUAAUGGAUAGGGCAUGAGACUUCUAAUCUUACAGUUCUGGGUUCGAAUCCCAGUGGGCCUA
rnacentral:tRNA from 1 species